GCAUUUCGAGCUAAAAGUGCGAAGCGCCUGCGCGGGAAUUCAGUCCACUGGACUGAUUUCCGAUCCCGCUUUGGUGUGUCAUAUAAUGUGUAAAAACAAAUAGUUAGAGCGGUUCCGGUAACUCUGUUAAAACAGGAGCCGCUCCAGCAUCUCCAGCAAAAAGCGGAA
rnacentral:misc_RNA from 1 species